rnacentral:ncRNA from 1 species
GUAUCAGCGUAAACUGUGCGCCUUUUAGUUGUGAAGCUAAUCGAAUAACUCUCCUAAACGGGGGAACUCUUAUUAAAUGAGACAAUCCCGUGCUAAAUAUCAAUAGUCCAAGAUAAAUCUUUGUUUUUUUGGAGUACAAAGCUUUAGCUUUGUCAGACAGUACAAAGCUAAAGCUUUGUACUCCAACACGUCAAGAUAGCUAUUGAUUAAAUGCCUAACGACCAUCCCGAAAGGGAGUAGAUACAAGUGUAUCGAAACGGAGAGACUCUUUUUAUGUUAAGAGUGUGAUAUGGUCUAAUCUACAUGGUGACAUGUAG